rnacentral:rRNA from 1 species
UGGGGAAUCUUGCGCAAUGGGCGAAAGCCUGACGCAGCGACGCCGCGUGGGGGAUGAAGGGUUUCGGCUUGUAAACCCCUGUUGCCCGGGACGAAACGCCUCUUUCGAGAGGUUUGACGGUACCGGGUGAGGAAGCACCGGCUAACUCCGUGCCAGCAGCCGCGGUAAUACGGAGGGUGCGAGCGUUGUCCGGAAUCACUGGGCGUAAAGGGCGCGUAGGUGGCGCGGCAAGUCAACGGUGAAAGCUCGACGCUCAACGUCGAGUCGGCCGUCGAUACUGCCGCGCUGGAGCACUGUAGAGGCUAAUGGAAUUCCGGGUGUAGCGGUGGAAUGCGUAGAGAUCCGGAAGAACACCGGUGGCGAAGGCGGUUAGCUGGGCAGUUGCUGACACUGAGGCGCGACAGCGUGGGGAGCAAACAG